UACGUAGGUGGCGAGCGUUGUCCGGAUUUACUGGGCGUAAAGGGAGCGUAGGCGGACUUUUAAGUGAGAUGUGAAAUACCCGGGCUCAACUUGGGUGCUGCAUUUCAAACUGGAAGUCUAGAGUGCAGGAGAGGAGAAUGGAAUUCCUAGUGUAGCGGUGAAAUGCGUAGAGAUUAGGAAGAACACCAGUGGCGAAGGCGAUUCUCUGGACUGUAACUGACGCUGAGGCUCGAAAAGCGUGGGGGAGCAAACAGG
rnacentral:rRNA from 1 species